rnacentral:tRNA from 1 species
GGGCCAGUAGCUCAUCUGGUAGAGCGCCUCGUUUGCACCGAGGAGGUAGGGGGUUCAAGUCCUCUCUGGUCCA